rnacentral:rRNA from 1 species
AACACGUGGCCAAACUACCCUGUGGAUGGGAACAAUCUCGGGAAACUGAGGCUAAUUCCCAAUAACGCUCCGCCCCUGGAACGGGCGGAGCUGGAAACGCUACGGCGCCACAGGAUGUGGCUGCGGUCGAUUAGGUAGACGGUGGGGUAACGGCCCACCGUGCCAAUAAUCGGUACGGGUUGUGAGAGCAAGAGCCCGGAGACGGAAUCUGAGACAAGAUUCCGGGCCCUACGGGGCGCAGCAGGCGCGAAACCUUUACACUGUACGCAAGUGCGAUAAGGGGACUCCGAGUGUGAAGGCAUAGAGCCUUCACUUUUGUACACCGUAAGGUGGUGUACGAAUAAGGGCUGGGCAAGACCGGUGCCAGCCGCCGCGGUAAUACCGGCAGCCCGAGUGAUGGCCGAUAUUAUUGGGCCUAAAGCGUCCGUAGCUGGCCGGACAAGUCCGUUGGGAAAUCUGUUCGCUUAACGAGCAGGCGUCCAGCGGAAACUGUUCGGCUUGGGACCGGAAGACCUGAGGGGUACGUCCGGGG